rnacentral:rRNA from 1 species
GACGAACGCUGGCGGCGUGCUUAACACAUGCAAGUCGAACGGUGACGAGGAGCUUGCUCCUCUGAUCAGUGGCGAACGGGUGAGUAACACGUGAGCAACCUGCCCCAGACUCUGGGAUAACAGUUGGAAACAGCUGCUAAUACCGGAUACGAGACGGAGAGGCAUCUCUACCGUCUGGAAAGUUUUUCGGUCUGGGAUGGACUCGCGGCCUAUCAGCUAGUUGGUGAGGUAAUGGCUCACCAAGGCGACGACGGGUAGCCGGCCUGAGAGGGCGACCGGCCACACUGGGACUGAGACACGGCCCAGACUCCUACGGGAGGCCAGCAGUGGGAAUAUUGCACAAUGGGCGAAAGCCUGAUGCAGCGACGCCGCGUGAGGGAUGAAGGCCUU